ACCUGAGAAUAAAAAUAUCAAAUUUCGUGCUAAUUCAGCGUCGAAUAAAAUAGAAUAUUUUUCAGGGCUAUCAAUAACAAAUGAUUAUUACUUUAAAUUUAUUUCUGGAAAAAAUAAAGAGCUAAAAAUAAAGAUCUUUAACCGACCAAUCGAUAUAAUUUUUUUGGCUUCAUUCAGUGAUAGAUUUUUACCCCAAACAUUUUUAUUUGAAAAACUAUCGAAUCAUUGAUUGAAAAAAAAUUUAAUACGCAUUCAAAACCAUGAAAAGUUCCCCCAAUUUUCAAAAAAUGCUGUAACCACUUUGCAGGUACUUUUGUUUAACUGUUUACCAUAAAACUGUCGAGUAAAUAUUUUACGUGAUAAUAAUUUUAAAAUAUAAUGAGGGUAAGAUUUAUAUUUAGAGGUAAACGACGCCUUCCAACCGCAUAUUAAAAUCUCUCAAGGUUCAUCUAAACAUUCGAGUCAUUUGAUUCAAUUCUCACGAUCGAGAUUAAAAAAAUUACCGGUUACGUAACAACCAGCUGCGAUUGUUGUCCAGUACUAGUGAGUGAGUCAAGAGACUGUGUAAACUCGUCUCAGUGAUGGACAAAAAAAUUGUCGUAGUACAAAAAAUCGUAAAAAGUCUCCUUGUCCCAGAAUUAAAUUCAUCGACAUUUUCAUAGACAUUUUCCAGUCGUAAAAACAAUUACGGACAGCCAUGAAAUUUCGGGUUUUUUUUUCUCUAUUUGAAAGCAACUCUGCGUGUCAGAUAAAGUGGAAUGCGUCAAUGAUGACCGCAUCGUCAGGAGUUACCUUUGCGUAACACUUCGAGCUCUUUAGUUACGCCGCAAAUGUUCCAUGUUUAUACUUGAAUCCCAGUAUUGCCAAGUGAUUUGUUAUAAAAACGUGAGAGAGGCUUUUUUAUGGUGACACGAACCCGCGGAAGUGGUCAUACCUCCUCCCGGCCUCGCCCUCGAUAUUAGAACACCUUUUACGUGGGGAAAUGUUGGGUGAAACAUGAGAAGUUAAUGUGCGUGGAGAGAUUCAAUGAAAUGAAAUUUUUUUAGGCGAAAAAAAAAUUUGUUUUUGCUGAUUUUAUUUGAUUGAGUGAUCGUAGGGAUGAUUACUGUCAUUAAUUCAAGGAGAAAUAUAUUUUGACAGAAUA